rnacentral:misc_RNA from 1 species
CGCACAUUGCGCCCGCCAGCACUCUGGCGGGCAUGCCUGUCCGAGCGUCAUUUCCACCCUCAGGCCUCGUUUGCCUGGCGUUGGGGCCGCUGUGGGGACUUUCCCUACAGGCCCUUAAGACCAGUGGCGGGCUCGCCUGGACCCCGAGCGCAGUAAUCUUUUUUCUCGCUCAGGGGGUUUCCAGGGGGGCUUGGCCGUUAAACCCACUAAAUUUUUAGAAGGUUGACCUCGGAUCAGGUAGGGAUACCCGCUGAACUUAA